AUUGAACGCUGGCGGAAUGCUUUACACAUGCAAGUCGAACGGCAACACGGGGGCAACCCUGGUGGCGAGUGGCGGACGCGGGAGUAAUACAUCGGAACGUGCCCGGGCGUGGGGGAUAACGUAGCGAAAGGUACGCGGAUACCACAUACGAUCAGCGUCUGAAAGCGGGGGAGCUUCGGGCCUGGCGCGAUCGGAGCGGCCGAUGUCAGAUUAGGUAGUUGGUGGGGUAACGGCCUACCAAGCCGACGAUCUGUAGCUGGUCUGAGAGGACGACCAGCCACACUGGGACUGAGACACGGACCAGACUCCUACGGGAGGCAGCAGUGGGGAAUUUUGGACAAUGGGCGCAAGCCUGAUCCAGCCAUUCCGCGUGUAGGACGAAGGCCUUCGGGUUGUAAAGUGCUUUUGUAUGGAACGAAAAGGCUCUGGCUAAUACCUGGGGUUAAUGACGUUACCGGAAGAAUAAGCACCGGCUAACUACGUG
rnacentral:rRNA from 1 species